UUCAUACUCCCACCGUCCAAAAUUAUUGUUUUAGGUUUACCUAAAAAUAAAUGUAUCUGAAUACUAAAAUAUAACUAGAUACAUUUAUAUCUAGACAAGUGUAAGACAAGAAUUUUAGAACGGAGGGAGUACAAA
rfam:Hordeum vulgare subsp. vulgare, WGS project CAJW01000000 data, contig: morex_contig_2549491